rnacentral:rRNA from 1 species
UACGAAGGGUGCAAACGUUGCUCGGAAUCAUUGGGCGUAAAGCGCACGUAGGCGGCCUGAUAAGUCGGAUGUGAAAUCCCUCGGCUCAACUGAGGACGUGCAUUCGAAACUGCCAGGCUCGAGUAUGGAAGAGGGUCGCGGAAUUCCCGGUGUAGAGGUGAAAUUCGUAGAUAUCGGGAGGAACACCAGUGGCGAAGGCGGCGACCUGGGCCAAUACUGACGCUGAGGUGCGAAACGUGGGGAGCAAACAGG